rnacentral:rRNA from 1 species
UACGGAGGGUGCGAGCGUUGUCCGGAAUCAUUGGGCGUAAAGGGCGCGUAGGUGGCCCGGUCAGUUCGUGGUGAAAGCGCGGGGCUCAACCCUGCGUCGGCCAUGAAUACUGCCGCGGCUGGAGCACUGUAGAGGCAGGCGGAAUUCCGGGUGUAGCGGUGGAAUGCGCAGAUAUCAGGAGGAACACCAAUGGCGAAGGCAGCUCGCUGGAACGGUACUGACGCUGAGGCGCGAAAGCGUGGGGAGCGAACAGA